rnacentral:rRNA from 1 species
AACGUAGGUACCGAGCGUUAUCCGGAUUUACUGGGCGUAAAGCGCGUUCAGGCGGUUUGGCAAGUCGGGCAUGAAGUCUCUCGGCUCAACCGGGAGAGGUUGUCCGAUACUGCUGGACUUGAGGGCAGUAGAGGGUGGUGGAAUUCCGGGUGUAGUGGUGAAAUGCGUAGAUAUCCGGAGGAACACCAGUGGCGAAAGCGGCCACCUGGACUGUACCUGACGCUAACACGCGAAAGCUAGGGGAGCGAACGGG